GGGGAAUAUUGCACAAUGGGCGAAAGCCUGAUGCAGCAACGCCGCGUGAGCGAUGAAGGCCUUCGGGUCGUAAAGCUCUGUCCUCAAGGAAGAUAAUGACGGUACUUGAGGAGGAAGCCCCGGCUAACUACGUGCCAGCAGCCGCGGUAAUACGUAGGGGGCUAGCGUUAUCCGGAUUUACUGGGCGUAAAGGGUGCGUAGGCGGUCUUUCAAGUCAGGAGUGAAAGGCUACGGCUCAACCGUAGUAAGCUCUUGAAACUGUAAGACUUGAGUGCAGGAGAGGAGAGUGGAAUUCCUAGUGUAGCGGUGAAAUGCGUAGAUAUUAGGAGGAACACCAGUUGCGAAGGCGGCUCUCUGGACUGUAACUGACGCUGAGGCACGAAAGCGUGGGGAGCAAAC
rnacentral:rRNA from 1 species